UCGAUGGCAGACGAUGAGGCCAGAAGGUAUCUAAUGGAGCGGAUUAUUGCUGGUGAUAGUAGUUCCAACCUUCCCAUAGCGUACACUGAUGAAAAGGGUAGCUAGGCAGACAUGUUUCUCAACCUGUCUGCCGAUGGCAAUGAAGAGCCCGAGCCCCAGCAAAACGUUACCGUGGCAGAAGGUUCCUACGAGCCCUCUGGAUCGACGAAUCGUCGUCCGAAGCCCUGAGGUCCUUCCAAGGUGAACACCGGAACAAAAAAGCUAUCAUCACGGAAGUCACAGAAGAAGGCAGGCUGGUUGCUCCUGAAAAAGUGGCAACACAGUACAUGAGUCAGAUCGAGGCAAUCGUAAGAGAGAACGUGCCCAUCAGCAUCAGGGACUGGAAGGACAAAACGACUAAUCCAUACGCGCUCCAGGAUACAUAAAAGAAUAUGUUGUGGGAAGAAGUUAAGAAAUAUUUCACAUUAAGGUGGCGUACGAUAGUGUCGUACCAAUCCUGCCAAAUCAUACAUGCCAUGGCAUGGAGAUUCCACCUGGCUAUACCAGUGUUGGCGUAGAGAGAAUCGCUGAUAGCCAAUUUGAAGGCCUAGAGCUCGACUUCACGGCAGGCGAUGGGUCAACAACAC